CUGGUUGUACAAGAAUCACUGAAAUGGAUGUUUCUAUUUCUUCAAAAAUAUUCAGCUGUUACACAAGCAAAAAAACGAAACUAGGGUCAAAACCAACUCUUUCCUAUGUGAAAAUCAGUAGGUACACAUGAAUCCGACAAUGGAAAUUUGAAUGAAUAAAGCAGCAAAUCACUACAGGGACUUGAACCAACAAACUCGACCUCGACUAGCACCUCCGAACCAAUGAAGCAGCAAUAAAACUCAAACAAACUCCAUGAUCGAAACUUUGUGUGAUUUCGUGUGUGUGUGUAUGGCUGCUGGUUCUUGCGUAUUUAAAGGAGAAGAAGGCUUUAAGGGGUUGGUUGUUGUCGGGAUUUGCGGUUGGUUUCGACAAGUUGCGGGUGCCGUUGGAUCUUAGAGCUUCGUGAAGAAGAAGCUCAUGGAGGGUCGUUUGUGCUUGGUUGAAGAAUGGCGGAAGGCUUUUGUCUCUAGGUUAGCUAUUAGCUGUUGUGUAUUAUGCUGAAAAUGAUGGGAGGGCUCGAAGAAGAUGAACCGCAGGGGGUGGGGGGAGCUCCUAUUUUGCUCGGCGGCUACCUAGAUUUUUGUCUCCUUUUUUGUGUAUUGCGCAGCUUUUUUGCAGAGUCCCCUUAUAAUUUUCGGCAUAUCUCCUUGUGUAUAGGUUUAUAACUCUAG
rnacentral:lncRNA from 1 species